rnacentral:rRNA from 1 species
AAUGAACGCUGGCGGCGCGCCUAAUACAUGCAAGUCGAGCGAGAAGACGUAGCAAUACGUUUGUAAAGCGGCGAACGGGUGAGGAAUACAUGGGUAACCUACCCUAGAGUGGGGAAUAACUAGCCGAAAGGUUAGCUAAUACCGCGUACGCUCCUUGGACUUCGGUUCAGGGAGGAAAGCGAUGCCGAGGGUAUCGCGCUCUUGGAUGGGCUCAUGUCCUAUCAGCUUGNGGUGAGGUAACGGCUCACCAAGGCCUCGACGGGUAGCUGGUCUGAGAGGACGAUCAGCCACACUGGCACUGCGACAC